CCCUUAGAUGUUCUGGGCUGCACACGUGCUACACUGGCAGGUUCAGCGAGCUUCAUGCCCUGAUCUGAAAGGAAUGGGAAAUCUUUUCAAAACCUGCCGUGCUUGGGAUAGAUGUUUGCAAUUAUUCAUCUUCAACGAGGAUUGCCUUGUAAGCGCACGUCAUCAGCGUGCAUUGAAUACGACCCUGUAUUCUGUACACACCGCCCGGCGCUCCUACCGAUUGAAGUUUUCGGUGAGUUGACAGGAGGAUUUUUUUGAAACUGGUUCGCCAGUGGAUUUUAGAUCCAAAUGCCAACGAAUCGAUGGCUUUAGAGGAAGGAGAAGUCGUAACA
rnacentral:rRNA from 1 species